UUCCGCGGUUCCGUCGUCCACCUAGGGGCGUGGGCACUGUGUGCUCGUGCCUAACAGAUCUGGAGGUCUCUGUUGUUGGUUCUUCCCGUAAGGUUCCUCGAUUCCGGGUCUUAUCCAGCCCUGUGCGGUUAAUGAGAGGACGGACUUGUCACCAUGGUCUUUGCUUCCCUUCCGGGCUCUGGGAUCCGACUGGCCCGUAUUGAUGCCCGUCACCCUGCUGUGUUGACAGGGUUCAGUCUGGAGCCUCAGCUAGCCUCCAGCAAAACUCUUCUGAGGUCAGCCACACCCAGAGCAUUGCAUUAUCAGAGCAGCCUUGGCUGAGGCCACUCUUGACC
rnacentral:lncRNA from 1 species